GCUUGCCUGUAGGGGUGCCUGAUGCGUCAGGCUGAGAUUGCGGUGCGCUCGACCGCUCGACCCUUCGAACCUGAAACGGAUUAUACCGGCGAAGGAAACAGCGGGGCGGUGUUU
rnacentral:ncRNA from 2 species